ensembl:snRNA U2 U2 spliceosomal RNA
UUUGCUUCUCUGCCUUUUGGCUAAGAUCAAGUGUAGUAUCUGUUCUUAUCAGUGUAAUAUCUCAUAUGGUGGCCUAGAGGUUAAGGAAGCGGCCCCGUAAUGGCUGCAGACUGCUCACCAAGGGUGUUGGUUAAAGGCAGAGGACACAUUUCGUAGUGUCACUGUGUGCUGUGCUGAAGUGUUUCUCAAUCACUUCACUCUCACUGUGCACUUU